AUCAAGUCUCUGAAUGAAAACACCCAGGCUACUACAAAAGAAUGAAAUAAUGGUCUAUGACAGCUCCAUGACAGCAGGGAACAGGCACAGGAUUCAGCUUCUCUUCACACUUCGGAUGCCAUGCGUGCAAGGCAUCCCAGACUCACCUUGUAUUGGCCUCCUCCAUCCAUGAGAUCAGUUUUAUUUUUAACCUCAAGAAGAUAGUACUGAAAAUGUCUGAAGAUGUGAACGCUCAGCUUUCUACUCUGGCCAUCUCUACCACUGUGCUUUCACCAUGAUGAACUUUUAUCCUUCUG